rnacentral:misc_RNA from 1 species
UACGGAGGGUGCAAGCGUUGUUCGGAAUUACUGGGCGUAAAGCGGGUGUAGGCGGCUAUGUAAGUCGGAUGUGAAAGCCCUGGGCUCAACCCAGGAAGUGCAUCCGAUACUGCAUAGCUUGAGUACUGGAGAGGGAAGUGGAAUUCCUGGUGUAGCGGUGAAAUGGGUAGAUAUCAGGAGGAACAUCGGUGGCGAAGGCGGCUUCCUGGCCAUGUACUGACGCUCAGACCCGAAAGCGUGGGUAGCAAACAGG